rnacentral:rRNA from 1 species
AGGGCACCACCAGGAGUGGAGCCUGCGGCUUAAUUUGACUCAACACGGGAAAACUCACCCGGCCCGGACACUGGAAGGAUUGACAGAUUGAGAGCUCUUUCUUGAUUCAGUGGGUGGUGGUGCAUGGCCGUUCUUAGUUGGUGGAGUGAUUUGUCUGGUUAAUUCCGAUAACGAACGAGACUCUAGCCUACUAAAUAGAUCGUCGGCUUACAAACGCCGGCGAGACUUCUUAGAGGGACAGGCGGUGAUUCAACCGCACGAAACAGAGCAAUAACAGGUCUGUGAUGCCCUUAGAUGUCCGGGGCCGCACGCGCGCUACACUGAAGUGAUCAGCGUGCUUUUUCAACCUACUCUGUCAAGAGUGGGGAACCCAAUGAACCUUCUUCGUGAUUGGGAUAGGGGAUUGUAAUUAUUCCCCUUGAACGAGGAAUUCCCAGUAAGCGCGAGUCAUAAGCUCGCGUUGAUUACGUCCCUGCCCUUUGUACACACCGCCCGUCGCUACUACCGAUUGAAUGAUAG